rnacentral:rRNA from 1 species
ACAUCCAGAGAACUUAGCAGAGAUGCUUUGGUGCCUUCGGGAACUCUGAGACAGGUGCUGCAUGGCUGUCGUCAGCUCGUGUUGUGAAAUGUUGGGUUAAGUCCCGNAACGAGCGCAACCCUUUAUCCUUUGUUGCCAGCGGUUCGGCCGGGAACUCAAAGGAGACUGCCGGUGAUAAACCGGAGGAAGGUGGGGAUGACGUCAAGUCAUCAUGGCCCUUACGGCCAGGGCUACACACGUGCUACAAUGGCGCAUACAAAGAGAAGCGACCUCGCGAGAGCAAGCGGACCUCAUAAAGUGCGUCGUAGUCCGGAUUGGGGUCUGCAACUCGACUCCAUGAAGUCGGAAUCGCUAGUAAUCGUAGAUCAGAAUGCUACGGUGAAUACGUUCCCGGGCCUUGUACACACCGCCCGUCACACCAUGGGAGUGGGUUGCAGAAGAAGUAGGUAGCUUAACCUUCGGGAGGGCGCUUACCACUUUGUGAUUCAUGACUGGGGUGAAGUCGUAACAAGGUAAGCGUAGCGAG